UCUGGUUGGUCUUCUCCCACCCUGACAAUUGCUUCCUUUCCAUUUUUCAUGAAGAGAGAGCUGGUGGGUCAAGCUAAUUGCUACUGAACUAUUGCUUUCUGCACCUGGUGCUCCAUCAGCCUGUGGUCAUCUUUGGAAUUGGAUGCCCUUGAGUCAGGCGCCCAUCCAUGUCCAACUGGGAUCUCAACUGCAGUCAGGCUGGGGUUCAGCUGCAGGCUCCAGCACACAGCCAGCAUUCCUGCUUCGGUCCUUCCACGGCACAGGGGAACGUGCAUAUGACUGAGUCUUCCUAGCUGCCGAGGAGGAGACGUGAGAAGCAAUGGAGGGGAAACUGAACAUGAGACAUUCGCCUUUCUGACCCCCACUCAUUUCAGCUGCCUGUCACAUCGCCGCAGGAUAGCAACUCUCCUGCGCAGCAGGCAUUCAGGAGCCAGGCCACACACCAGGAUCUGUCCUUCUAUCUAGCACCCUGUGCCUACUCUGAGGUUAGCAACAAGUGGCAACCUCUUCCUUCCUACAGACAAGAAGGUGACUGGCGCUUCCCAGCCCAUUAUUCCAGCCCACGCAGAGUGAGGUUAAUGGAACUGAGAUGAAGCUGGCUGGCGGGAGAGGGAGAGCCCUGAGGGGACCACACAGCUCAUCUUCCAUCCCUCAGCCUGCUCUUCCCCCACCCCAAGCUCUGGGCAUCUCUGUCCAAAGACAGAGAUGGGAAGGGCAGAGGGAUAAAGGGGUCUUACACUCUUACCAACAGAUUCUGCAGGGAGGGGUGCUGUCAGCUUGGUUAUCAUUAGGAAAGAUCAGUUUGUAAUGCCCUUAGACAGUUCUGUGAUUGGCUUGUGGGUACAGACGGAGGUAGACUGCUCAUCUCCACAAUGAAUCUGCUUCUUGGUAGGAGUGGUCCUAAAAGGGCAAGAGAGAAGGAGAGCGCCCACACGGAAUGAAUGGAUCUGGCAGCCUGGAUUCCAGGAAAGAUCUUUGAUGCCUGAGUAGAAAGUGCUUGAAGAGCUACAGACAGGGCUGAGGUCAGAGGUCAGAGGUCAGAGGUAAUCUGUAGUGGAAACAGGAGGUGAGAAAGCCUUCAUCUUCUAGAUGAACUGAGACCGGAACCGCAGAUUUCACAGAUGAAACUGGGCACGCUUCGUAACUCGAGCCCUGGGUAGAGCAUCACACUUGUUGAUCUGAAGGCCAUCCGGCUGCUCAGAUGACUUUCCUGCUGAUGAGGAAAGAAACACCCUCCCGGCUUCACCCCAUGACUUGUUGGGCAAUGGUGCAACACUGAGGUUCAUUGCAGUCUAAGAGACUCUUCCAUGAUCCCGCUCUUUUACCAGUCACAUCCUCCUACAUGGAAUAUACACAAUAUGCACACACACACACACACACAGAGAGAGAGAGAGAGAGAGAGAGAGAGAGAGAGAGAGAGAGAGAGGGAGAGAGGGAGAGAGGGAGAGAGAAAGAGAGAGAGGGAGAGAGAACAACUCACUACAUGGACCUGAGCCCACUUAGGACAGAAAGAAUAGGUUGUUUAGGAAGCACUUCAGGUUGGAUACCCAGAGGGGCUUUUAAACACAAAUAGAACAAUUUCAUCUCUGACUGGUGCUCUGUGUACCUGAUACUGCAUCUACCAUUGCGAAUGAAGAGCCACCUCAGAAGGUUCUAGGAGGUCCCGGCCAGCAGAGAGGACUAGAAACCAAUAACCCGGCCAUCUUGGAAAAACAAUAACCUGUCUCAGCACUGCACUGUGGGUUUUUGUUCUGGACUCAGGGCCCUUCUGCCAAAACAGAAUCGAAGCUGGGGCUGGAGGUGUGGACCUAGAGACAGCCGUGUUUGGAAAGUCUCUUUAGUAGGUAUGGCUGUGGAUAGAAGCACAUAGGUGCUGCCUCCCAGCAUAUGCAAGCUCUUCCUAGUCUCCCACUUUCAGUAGAUGCUAAGUGGAGAUGGUUUGGACAAUGUGUGCCUGAACUCUUGGUUCAAAGAUAUAUUCUGAUCACUGGCUUAUAAAAGUCUAGACUUUGAAACUACUGGCUCUGUAGAUAUUUCCAUGCGUAUGUGUGUGGUUUCGGAGCACACAAUGUCUGCUUCCUAACUGAAAACAAAAGAAAAUCAGAACUUGAUGAAAGAGGUUUGUUAAGUUGCAUAAGGGUGUGUGGGAUUCCCCCACCCAUCUUACGUAGCAGCCUUUCCUCGGUGCAUAGAAGAAUGAGGACCACACGGAGUGGAUUCCAUUCAGAAGUGGCUUAGGAAACCCGAAGAGGAACCCCAACGAAGGCCAAGUCUGUGAUCACCUCAUUCCUAGAAGCUUGCUCCAACCUCUCCAGCACCUGGGGAAACGGGAGGUCUGCUUGUGUUGGGGGAGGAGGAGGAAGAGCAGUUCUCAUCAGGUAUCUACCAAGUCCAGGGCAUGGGAAUUCCUGGGACCAAGCCCCUAACUUGUCAGAAGAGCUGGGACUUCACCAGACUCAGAGCCAUCUUGGGGAGUGCAGAGAGACGGAUGUCUAUGACUCCUCUAUGAAGGUGUUCAGAGGAGAAGGGGAGC
rnacentral:lncRNA from 1 species